rnacentral:rRNA from 1 species
UACGUAGGGUGCAAGCGUUGUCCGGAAUUAUUGGGCGUAAAGCGCACGUAGGCGGAUCGAUCAGUCAGGGGUGAAAUCCCAGAGCUCAACUCUGGAACUGCCUUUGAUACUGGGUACCUAGAGUAUGGAAGAGGUGAGUGGAAUUCCGAGUGUAGAGGUGAAAUUCGUAGAUAUUCGGAGGAACACCAGUGGCGAAGGCGGCUCUCUGGGACGGUAUGACGUGAGACGCGAAAGCGUGGG